rnacentral:rRNA from 1 species
CCUGGCUCAGAAUCAACGCUGGCGGCGUGCCUCAGACAUGCAAGUCGAACGCGAAAGCUCCCUUCGGGGAGCAAGUAGAGUGGCGCACGGGUGAGUAACACGUAGGUAAUCUACCUUUGGAUGGGGAAUAACAACCGGAAACGGUUGCUAAUACCGCAUAAUGCAGCGGCACCUAAUGGUGACAGUUGUUAAAGCGGGGGAUCGCAAGACCUCGCGUCUGAAGAGGAGCCUGCGGCGGAUUAGCUAGUUGGUAAGGUAACGGCUUACCAAGGCGAUGAUCCGUAGCCGGCCUGAGAGGGCGGUCGGCCACACUGACACUGACAUACGGGUCAGACUCCUACGGGAGGCAGCAGUCGGGAAUUUUGGGCAAUGGGCGAAAGCCUGACCCAGCAACGCCGCGUGAAGGAUGAAAUCCCUCGGGAUGUAAACUUCGCAAGAACGGGAAGAAUAAGCCGGUGUUAACACCACCGGUGAUGACGGUACUGUUUGUAAGCUCCGGCUAACUCCGUGCCAGCAGCCGCGGUAAUACGGGGGGAGCAAGCGUUGUUCGGAUUUACUGGGCGUAAAGGGCGCGUAGGCGGCCUCUGCAAGUCGACUGUGAAAUCUCCGGGCUUAACCCGGAACGGUCAGCCGAUACUGCAGGGCUAGAGUGCAGAAGGGGCAACUGGAAUUCUCGGUGUAGCGGUGAAAUGCGUAGAUAUCGAGAGGAACACCUGCGGCGAAGGCGGGUUGCUGGGCUGACACUGACGCUGAUGCGCGAAAGCUAGGGGAGCGAACGGGAUUAGAUACCCCGGUAGUCCUAGCCUUAAACGAUGAAUGCUUGGUGUCUAGGGUUUUAUAGUCCCCGGGUGCCGUCGCUAACGCUUUA